rnacentral:rRNA from 1 species
GCAUAACGCGAAGAACCUUACCCACCUUUGACAUGUACGGAAUCCUUUAGAGAUAGAGGAGUGCUCGAAAGAGAGCCGUAACACAGGUGCUGCAUGGCUGUCGUCAGCUCGUGUCGUGAGAUGUUGGGUUAAGUCCCGCAACGAGCGCAACCCUUGCCAUUAGUUGCUACAUUUAGUUGAGCACUCUAAUGGGACUGCCGGUGACAAACCGGAGGAAGGUGGGGAUGACGUCAAGUCCUCAUGGCCCUUAUAGGUGGGGCUACACACGUCAUACAAUGGCUGGUACAAAGGGUUGCCAACCCGCGAGGGGGAGCUAAUCCCAUAAAGCCAGUCGUAGUCCGGAUCGCAGUCUGCAACUCGACUGCGUGAAGUCGGAAUCGCUAGUAAUCGUGAAUCAGAAUGUCACGGUGAAUACGUUCCCGGGUCUUGUACACACCG